AGGGUCUUUGUUAAUGGGGGAGGAUUCUGAUCCAGUGAUGAAUGACUCAGGAAUGUUCUGCUCUGGAGCUUUAUGUAGAGGUCACCAUUAUUUGAGGUGAUGUGGAAAUGUUAUUGGGAGUCUGCUCUGAGGGGUUGGGGACAGGAACUAGCCUGAAGGUGCUACACUCAGGGAAUCUCUUUCUGGGUACCAUGGGGUCUGUAUUUGGGGGUUAUCAUGAGGGAAUCUGUUAAUAAUGGGGCCUCAGUGAUCGAGGGCUGGCUAAUGGGGUCUCUAUUCUGGAUGUGUUACUGGGAAUCUCUAUCUCAGGGUAACUUGGGGGCUCCUGUGUCAGGAGAUGCUAGAGGGGACUCUUUGACUCUCUGUCAGAUAUCCAGGCCUCUAAGACUGCAUCUCCGCCCUCAGCAUCCAGGGAAACCAGCAGCAGAAGAGCAACCUGGAAAGGAGAAUCAUGUCUGUCACACCUUGAUGCAGGAUGUGGGGACAUCUGGGCUCUUCACCCCCCACCCCACCCCUGCUUCUCCCCAAGUGUUUGGGAUUUGGCCUUUCUGAAUUCUGCCUCUACCUAUCCAGCUAUGCCUUCUCAGGCUCAUGUGAAAUAGAAGUUAUUUUGCCUCCUUUACCUGCCCCUUAAGAGUGGAAGGCACCAGAAUUCAUUGUGGGGACCUCACUCCCUAAGAACUGUUUCUGGGACGUAGGUCAAGGGUUGGCUACCCACCUGGAGAUGGAGUUCUCUGAUGCGAUGUCCUUUGGGGUCCGGACUGUCGUGAAAGUGCGUUUGGGCUGUGUCACUAAAGGGGAAGGCAAGAUCUCAGGGACCUGAGGAGAAACUGAGUCACCAAAGUUGGGCUACCCACAGAAAAUCCUCAAAUUGGCUCUCCUCACCCUCCUCACCCAGAAGACCCCCGCUCUGACCUUUGUGUUCCCUGCGGCCUUUGCCAGUGACACGGGAAAAGUCCAUCCGAGGAGUCCGAGGUUCAUCCAGCUCCACGCCCACCCACUGGCCACUGGCGAACUCCGUGGUCCCGCAGAACCGAAGUGUGCCCGUCUGAGGAAAUAAGGGAGGAUAUGGUUUGGGUGGGUGAGUGGGGAGUGGUCCUUGAGAGGCCAUGAUAGAUGACUGGCACACAGGCAGCAUGGAGAGAGGAUGAGGGAGCCCUAAACUCAAAUCUAUUUGGACAUCACCAUUUACUGGCUAUGUGACUUAAGUCACUGUGUCUCUGUGUCCUCAUCUAUGAAAUAGAACUAGAAAUCACACCUACCUUAGAAGUUGGUUAUAGAACUACCCUGUCCAAUGCAGUAAACGGCCAUUAGCCACAUAUAACAAUUUAAAUUAACUGAAAUUAAAUUUAAAUUUAAUUUCCCUGGUUGCACUCACCCCAUUUCAAGGGCUCAAUAGCCACAUAUGGCUUAUGGCUAUUUUGUUGGGCAACACAGACCCAGAAUAUUUCCACCACCACAGAUGGAAAGAUCCAUUGGACAGGGCUGUGACAGCCUCAGAAGAGGGCCUGGGGCUGAGUGAGGGAUCAGUGAGUGCUGACUAUUAGUAUCUUGCACUUUGGUCAAAUGACCUUUUGGGCCUCAGCUUCAUCUGUAAAAUGGAGAUAGCAAAGCACUUCAUAGGCUGGCUGUCUGAUCGAAACAUUUGGAAUAUAUGUAAGUUCAUUUGGUUGCAGUGAUAACAGCCUCAGUGAGUAUGGCUGUUAUCGUGUGAGGCUGCUUCACUCUCUAAGGCUCAGUUCCUUAUCUAUAAAAUGGAUGAAUAGUGCCAACUCUGGAGGCUUGGUGUAGAGAUCAGAAUAGUGCCUGGCACACAGAAGAGCAUUUGUGAUGCACCAAGCCCUAUUCUAAGGGCUUUACUGAUUUUAAUUAAUUUAAGCCUCAUACGACUACUUGAGGUGGGUACCAUUAUUAGCCCCAUUUUAGAGAUGAAGAAACUGAUUCCUCAGAGAUGUGGAAUCAGCCCCAUUUUAGAGAUGAAGAAACUGAUUCCUCAGAGAUGAGGAAUCAUCUCUUCCUCAGAGAUGUGGAAUCAGUGGCCCCAGGUACCACAGCUAGAAAAUAGCAAAGCUGAGAUUUGCCUGAGCUCGUAACCACUGUGCUAUGCUGUUUCUCUAAGGGGCAGGUUGUUACUAUUGUUCUUAUCUUCAGACAAAAGGUUUCGCCUCUCUGAGCCUCUUACAGUCUUCUGGGUUGUAAAAUGGGGAGAAUCAACCCAUUUUGCUUUCAAAAUUGUCAUGUAGGGGAUGGCUGGGUGGCUCAGUGGUUAAGCGUCUGCCUUUGGCUCAG